GAUGAAGAACGCAGCGAAAUGCGAUAAUUAAUGUGAAUUGCAGAAUUCAGUGAAUCAUCGAGUCUUUGAACGCACAUUGCGCCCCCUGGUAUUCCGGGGGGCAUGCCUGUCCGAGCGUCAUUGCUGCCCUCAAGCACGGCUUGUGUGUUGGGCUUCCGUCCCUGGCAACGGGGACGGGCCCAAAAGGCAGUGGCGGCACCAUGUCUGGUCCUCGAGCGUAUGGGGCUUUGUCACCCGCUCCCGUAGGUCCAGCUGGCAGCUAGCCUCGCAACCAAUCUUUUUACCCAGGUUGACCUCGGAUCAGGUAGGGAUACCCGCUGAACUUAAGCAUAUCAAUAAGCGGAGGA
rnacentral:misc_RNA from 1 species